rnacentral:rRNA from 1 species
UUUAAUUGAAGAGUUUGAUCAUGGCUCAGAUUGAACGCUGGCGGCAGGCUUAACACAUGCAAGUCGAGCGGUAACACAGGAGAGCUUGCUCUCUGGGUGACGAGCGGCGGACGGGUGAGUAAUGUCUGGGAAACUGCCUGAUGGAGGGGGAUAACUACU